rnacentral:tRNA from 1 species
GCGAUGGACUGCUAAUCCAUUGUGCUCUCUACGUGUGGGUUUGAAUCCCAUCCUCCUUG